UACGUAGGGCGCAAGCGUUAUCCGGAAUUAUUGGGCGGAAAGAGCUCGUAGGCGGUUUGUCGCGUCUGCCGUGAAAGUCCGGGGCUCAACUCCGGAUCUGCGGUGGGUACGGGCAGACUUGAGUGAUGUAGGGGAGACUGGAAUUCCUGGUGUAGCGGUGAAAUGCGCAGAUAUCAGGAGGAACACCGAUGGCGAAGGCAGGUCUCUGGGCAUUAACUGACGCUGAGGAGCGAAAGCAUGGGGAGCGAACAGG
rnacentral:rRNA from 1 species